rnacentral:rRNA from 1 species
CCUACGGGCGGCAGCAGUGAGGAAUAUUGGUCAAUGGGCGAGAGCCUGAACCAGCCAAGUCGCGUGAAGGAUGACGGCCCUACGGGUUGUAAACUUCUUUUGUCAGGGAGCAAUUGGGUCCACGCGUGGGCUUAGCGAGAGUACCUGAAGAAAAAGCAUCGGCUAACUCCGUGCCAGCAGCCGCGGUAAUACGGAGGAUGCGAGCUUUAUCCGGAUUUAUUGGGUUUAAAGGGUGCUAAGGCGGAAUAUCAAGUCAGUGGUAAAAAUUCGGGGCUCAACCCCGUCGUGCCGUUGAAACUGAUGGUCUUGAGUGGGCGUGAGGUAUGCGGAAUGCGUGGUGUAGCGGUGAAAUGCAUAGAUAUCACGCAGAACUCCGAUUGCGAAGGCAGCAUACCGGCGCCCAACUGACGCUGAAGCACGAAAGCGUGGGUAUCGAACAGGAUUAGAUACCCUGGUAGUC